GGCUUAUUGUUUAAAUUUAUAUUAAGUCUUGCCUGCUCAAUGAUAAUUAACAUUAUUAAAUAGCCGCAGUAUUUUGACUGUGCAAAGGUAGCAUAAUCAUUUGUCUUUUAAUUGUGGACUUGUAUGAAUGGUUUGAUGAAAUAUUAACUUUCUUUAUAUAAAAUUAAUUAAUUUAAUAUUUUGGUUAAAAGGCUAAAAUGUUUUUAUAGGACGAGAAGACCCUAUAGAAUUUUAUAUUAUUGUAAACUCAUAAAUUGUUUGAUUUUAUAAAUUUAUUAUUUAUAAUAAUAUUUUGUUGGGGUGACAGGGAAAUUUAUUCAACUUUCUUUAAUAAUUUAUUAUUACUUUAUAUAUUUAUGAUCCUAUUUUAAGGAUAUUAAGAUUAAAUUACCUUAGGGAUAACAGCGUAAUUCUUUUGGAGAGUUCAUAUCGAUAGAAGAGUUUGCGACCUCGAUGUUGGAUUAAAAUAAGUAUUAGGUGUAGAAGCUUAAUUACUAGGUCUGUUCGACCUUUAAAUUUUUACA
rnacentral:rRNA from 1 species